UACGUAGGGGGCAAGCGUUGUCCGGAUUUAUUGGGCGUAAAGAGCGUGUAGGCGGCCAUACAGGUCCGUUGUGAAAACUGGAGGCUUAACCUCCAGACGUCGAUGGAAACCGUAUGGCUAGAGUCCGGAAGAGGAGAGUGGAAUUCCUGGUGUAGCGGUGAAAUGCGCAGAUAUCAGGAAGAACACCCGUGGCGAAGGUGGCUCUCUGGGACGGUACUGACGCUGAGACGCGAAAGCGUGGGGAGCGAACAGG
rnacentral:rRNA from 1 species